UACGAAGGGGGCUAGCGUUGUUCGGAAUCACUGGGCGUAAAGGGCGCGUAGGCGGCUUGAUAAGUCGGGGGUGAAAGCCUGUGGCUCAACCACAGAAUUGCCUUCGAUACUGUCGAGCUUGAGACCGGAAGAGGUAAGUGGAACUGCGAGUGUAGAGGUGAAAUUCGUAGAUAUUCGCAAGAACACCAGUGGCGAAGGCGGCUCACUGGCCCGUAACUGACGCUGAGGUGCGAAAGCGUGGGGAGCAAACAGG
rnacentral:rRNA from 1 species